AGUUAUAUUUUUACUGAUUUUUAUAGAGUAAAGAUAGAAAUAAAACUUAGUAAAAUCAGUAAAAAUAUUCUUAGACUAAAGUUAAGUAGUUUAAGUUGUGUGCAAGUGGUAGGAGAGCGUUCUAUUUGCGUCGAAGGUAUACCGGUAAGGAGUGCUGGAGCGAAUAGAAGUGAGCAUGCAGGCAUGAGUAGCGAUAAUUAAUGUGAGAAUCAUUAACGCCGUAAACCCAAGGUUUCCUACGCGAUGCUCGUCAUCGUAGGGUUAGUCGGGUCCUAAGUCGAGUCCGAAAGGGGUAGACGAUGGCAAAUUGGUUAAUAUUCCAAUACCAACAUUAGUGUGCGAUGGAAGGACGCUUAGGGCUAAGGGGGCUAGCGGAUGGAAGUGCUAGUCUAAGGUCGUAGGAGGUUAUACAGGCAAAUCCGUAUAACAAUACUCCGAGAACUGAAAGGCUUUUUGAAGUCUUCGGAUGGAUAGAAGAACCCCUGAUGCCGUCGAGCCAAGAAAAGUUUCUAAGUUUAACUAAUGUUGCCCGUACCGUAAACCGACACAGGUGGGUGGGAUGAGUAUUCUAAGGCGCGUGGAAGAACUCUCUUUAAGGAACUCUGCAAAAUAGCACCGUAUCUUCGGUAUAAGGUGUGGUUCGCUUCGUAUUAGGAUUUACUCCGAAAGCGAAGAAACUUACAACAAAGAGUCCCUCCCGACUGUUUACCAAAAACACAGCACUCUGCUAACUCGUAAGAGGAUGUAUAGGGUGUGACGCCUGCCCGGUGCUCGAAGGUUAAUUGAUGGGGUUAGCAUUAGCGAAGCUCUUGAUCGAAGCCCGAGUAAACGGCGGCCGUAACUAUAACGGUCCUAAGGUAGCGAAAUUCCUUGUCGGUUAAAUACCGACCUGCAUGAAUGGCGUAACGAGAUGGGAGCUGUCUCAAAGAGGGAUCCAGUGAAAUUGUAGUGGAGGUGAAAAUUCCUCCUACCCGCGGCAAGACGGAAAGACCCCGUGGACCUUUACUACAGCUUGACACUGCUAUUUGGAUAAGAAUGUGCAGGAUAGGUGGGAGGCUUUGAGUAUAUGACGCCAGUUGUAUAUGAGCCAUUGUUGAGAUACCACUCUUUCUUAUUUGGGUAGCUAACCAGCUUGAGUUAUCCUCAAGUGGGACAAUGUCUGGUGGGUAGUUUGACUGGGGCGGUCGCCUCCCAAAUAAUAACGGAGGCUUACAAAGGUUGGCUCAGAACGGUUGGAAAUCGUUCGUAGAGUAUAAAGGUAUAAGCCAGCUUAACUGCAAGACAUACAAGUCAAGCAGAGACGAAAGUCGGUCUUAGUGAUCCGGUGGUUCUGUGUGGAAGGGCCAUCGCUCAAAGGAUAAAAGGUACCCCGGGGAUAACAGGCUGAUCUCCCCCAAGAGCUCACAUCGACGGGGAGGUUUGGCACCUCGAUGUCGGCUCAUCGCAUCCUGGGGCUGGAGCAGGUCCCAAGGGUAUGGCUGUUCGCCAUUUAAAGCGGUACGCGAGCUGGGUUCAGAACGUCGUGAGACAGUUCGGUCCCUAUCUGCCGUGGGCGUAAGAAGAUUGAAGAGAUUUGACCCUAGUACGAGAGGACCGGGUUGAACAAACCACUGGUGUAGCUGUUGUUCUGCCAAGAGCAUCGCAGCGUAGCUAAGUUUGGAAAGGAUAAACGCUGAAAGCAUCUAAGCGUGAAGCCAACUCUAAGAUGAAUCUUCUCUAAGCUCUCUAGAAGACUACUAGUUUGAUAGGCUGGGUGUGUAAUGGAUGAAAGUCCUUUAGCUGACCAGUACUAAUAGAGCGUUUGGCUUAUCUUU
rnacentral:rRNA from 1 species